GACGAACGCUGGCGGCGUGCUUAACACAUGCAAGUCGAACGAGGAGCGAUGGAAGCUUGCUUCUAUCAAUCUUAGUGGCGAACGGGUGAGUAACGCGUAAUCAACCUGCCCUUCAGAGGGGGACAACAGUUGGAAACGACUGCUAAUACCGCAUACGAUCUAAUCUCGGCAUCGAGGAUAGAUGAAAGGUGGCCUCUACAUGUAAGCUAUCACUGAAGGAGGGGAUUGCGUCUGAUUAGCUAGUUGGAGGGGUAACGGCCCACCAAGGCGAUGAUCAGUAGCCGGUCUGAGAGGAUGAACGGCCACAUUGGGACUGAGACACGGCCCAGACUCCUACGGGAGGCAGCAGUGGGGAAUCUUCCGCAAUGGACGAAAGUCUGACGGAGCAACGCCGCGUGAGUGAUGACGGCCUUCGGGUUGUAAAGCUCUGUUAAUCGGGACGAAAGGCCUUCUUGCGAAGAGUGAGAAGGAUUGACGGUACCGGAAUAGAAAGCCACGGCUAACUACGU
rnacentral:rRNA from 1 species